CAGAGUGUAGCUAAGAUAAGAAUAGCAUCUCCCUUACACUGAGAAGUCAUUCGUGCAAACCGAAUUACCCUGA
rnacentral:tRNA from 1 species